GGGUUCUUCAUUGUGUUGGCCAUGCUCCCCAGGGAGGUGUAGCUGUGAGGGGACAGCGCGGUUGUGGGAGGGGUGGAGGGCAUCGCCCGAUGCUCUGCUCCUCCUCUGGCUGCUCCCCACACUCACCCCUUGUCGUAGAGGACGCAGUAGGGGACGAAGAGCUUGCGCAGGAACUCCCAGAUGUCCCUGUAUGUCCAGUCCAGCAGCGGGUUCACCCGCAUGUACUGGGGCCAGUCAGGGUCUGUCAUGCACAUGGGGGUCAGGGUGCACGAGUAGGGGUCGGUGCGCCGCGUGCCCAUCAAAACGGCCUCCAGCUGUGGCUGCUGCUCCUUCAGGGUGAGCAGGGCAUCCCGGAUGGAGCCCUCCACUGUGCACAGCUGGAUGUUGUACCUCUGCACGGUCGCCUGGAUGAACUGCUCCAUUUCAGGGAAGGGGGACACGAUGCGGAUGUAGAGCACCUUCAGCUUCUCCUGCCUCUCCGGGAACCGCCUCUCCACAGCAGCAUGGACGAGGUGCAGCAGGGCUGUGCAGUCCUUGCCCCCGUUGAAACCCACGCAGAGCUGGGCCAGGCUGUACCGGUCCAAAGCCUCCUCAAUGGUCCGCAGUGCUGCUGCCACCUUCUGUCCCAGG
rnacentral:lncRNA from 1 species